GUUAAGGACUUAUGGUACCGCGGCGAAACUGAGAGCCCCUUGUGAAUGUACACGCAAGGUUCUGCUGCUUGGCGCAUACCGAUAUCGAAGUCUCUAGUCAUGAUUGUUAUAGAAUUACACUUGUGUGUUAUCUUCCGUGGAUAUCUUCCUUGAAAAGAUUUCUAUGUUGUUUGUCAUGUGAUCAAGCAACAUCUAUCAUCUCUGUUGGAUCAAAAGGGCAUACCCCUUUCAUGUGUGGUCUCUUUUCCUUGACUUUGAUGGUGACUUCACACAUACACGUUCCCUUUGCAUCCUUUGUGUAAAGGUGAAGCCUUGGAGCUUUUUAGUGUUGGAAAGCAGCUAAUUAGCUCUCAAAAUGCAGAUUGAUUUUCCCUGCUGCUGAGAUGCAGGAGUUUUUUCAUUCACUCUCUUAUUAAUCCCUAUAUUCCUUAACCAAGUUGAUAAUUCAUCUCGCAUGAAGAAACGGAUGAACAACCUGACCAAAUAGAUUUCUACCCAAGUGCAUGAUCUCUUGUUAAUUAAAGUGAACUCUCAACCCUUGUCUUACCGAUGGUACUGAGAGGACUUGCUCAAUGUCAAAGGUAGUUCAACAAGUUGGUUUUACUAACUUGUAACUGCUUUGUGAACAAAGGUUGAGUUUAGAAAUCGUCUUAUCGAGUUGUCUAAACUCACUUUAGUUCAGCCUAUCCUGAAGAAAAACUUGGUGAAGAUCAAGUGAAGGAUAUGAACAUAUGCGCAGAUCUUGUGCCAUAUUGGUUUAGAUUAUGAGCAUAUGCAUCUUAACUUUACCUUGUUGGCCGAGGUAUUUUUGCCAUCCUCAGCUAACUGUUAACAGCCUAACCACAACUCUAGUCAUGCCUUGAUCGCCUCGUGUGUGCUUUUCCAGCAUGUGUGAUCAAGUCGAGCCAUGCCUAGUGCUUGAUAAAAUGGACUGGUUGCAAAGCCCGCAUCUAUAGAUCCCUUCGCUAGUGAUUUUUCUAGUCUCUAUCAUUUUUCUUGGACUUGGAUUUUCUGGCUGGCCAUGGGUCAACUGUGAUGUUAUUCGACAUUCACACCCGCCUCGUGUGCUGUGAACUUACCGUGACCCCUUGUUGGUAAACUUCUUUCUGUGUGUUUUACCCAAGACGUUGCAUCUGGUUCCGUUUGGGUAAAGUCGCAUAUCUACCGCUCGCCCAACAGACUCAAAUAGUACAGUGUCAUCAGAAAAAGCAAACUGCACAUGGAACCUUAUGUGUUCCUCUGGCAGACAUCGUCUCUAUUGGUGGACAUUUCUAAAUUAGCUUAGGGCAAUGCAUGUUAUGUCCACUAGAGAAACCAUAUUCUGAGACACUCGACUUUGCUUGGAGCUGUUUUAUGGUUACCGCUGAUAUGGGCAAGAGUUAUAUUAUUCUCUACUCUUAAAAGUCUUUCGUUCUGAAUGUCGGGACGAGAUUCUUUUAAGGGGGGAGGGUUGUAACACCCCAUGUGUUUAUCGUCUGCUCGACCACGAGUGCGGACCUUAACACGUGAUAGCGAUGAAUAAAAUGGACACUAAAUUUUAAUUAUCUCGCAAAGGUUCGAGUUUGGUGCCAUUUUCAUUUCGAUAAUCUAUGUAAUUAAAAGGGGUUCACAGGUUUUGUCGUUAUUUAACAAUUAAGCAGACCGAGGUAAUUAGAACCGAACCGAGUAAAAUGCUUAAUUCAGUUUUGAAUCAGAUUUGAAGUAUGCUGAAAAUAAUAUCAACUAGCUGUUUUUGGGUCCUCAUAACUUUUGAUCUAUAAACAGUUUGAAGGUGGACAUUAUAACAAGGUUGUAGAGCUAUACUAGGGAUACAAAUUUGCUUAGGCAACCUGCCCGUAAAACCAUGAGUAACUGGGUGUAAAACUGGUCCAAAGAGAGGCUGACAGGUUUGGAUUUCAGACUUGGUGUAAUUGUCCAAGUCGGAAUUUUAGUGUGUUUGGCUCAACUUUGGAGCUUUGUGGUGCCUGAUCCAUGUGGUGUUGGGCUAAUAUUGUUGUAUCAAGUUUGAAGACCACAUGUUGGUGUGCAACUUUGGUUAAAGGUCAUAUCCCUAAAGCUACUUGGAACUUGGAGAAAAGAUGGUCCAAAGUGGAGCUGUCAGACUUGUGAUUUCUGGACUUUGAUUCAGAAAUUGAUGUCCAGUUUCAGCAUUUUUAGCAAACUUUAGAUCUCUGUUGUGAUAAACUUUUGAUGUUAUGGCAUGCACUCUCCACAGAGAAGUCUUAGAGGGUAGUGUGGUGAGUAACUUCUAUUAAGUUUCAUCUCCUUGAGCUUGUUUAGAAAGGGGAGAAAAUGCUGCUCCAAGUCGCUAUGUCAGACAUUGGUGUGCUGAACCAAAUUCAGCUAGGCUGAAUUGUUGAGUUCGCUGGUGCUGCCCCAACUUUGGUGCUCGAUAACUUGAGGUCAGUUGAGCUUUUGAUAGUAACCAUUAAAACAAAGUUGAAGACUUUGUAUCAGUGAGCAAUCUUGGUACAGGUCUGUUGUAGGUUGAUGCACUGGUGUUGGAGUAAAUUGUGUUCAAACUCUCUCUGUCAGGUGCGAGUUCAGCUUUUGGUUCAGUUAGCUGAAUCUGAAUUUCAGUAUUUUCAUCCCACUUUGAAGCACCAUAACUUUUGAUCCAUGAAUCUUUGACCUAAGGCUGCUGCAGCAAACAUUUAAAUCUAUGUGUUGGGAACAAUCUUUGUUAACUAAGAUUGGCAUGUAUUGCUUGCACUAGUGAGGAUCAAAGGGGUUUAAAGAUGGGGGGUUCAUUUGGCGCCAGGUGCAGUUUUAGAAUCUGAAACGUGAUUCAGCUUUUCUGAAUUUUUAGAAGACGCAUAUUCCUCUCAGUUUUGGACCCUUCUAAUUAUUAAUUCCUGAACUUUGGUGGAUGAUCAUUACACCAAAUAUAGAGAGUUAUUAUUGGAGAACCAUUCUUAUUAAGCAUUAAUUUCCUGUCAUUACUUAGAACUGGAAGAAAAUCGUCCUCCAAUUCCCUCUGUUUUGCAAGUUGGAAACUGAAACUUGUGUCAGUUUUGGGGGCCAGGGUUCAACAUGCUCGCCUAUGUCUCAGCCAUCCUCAUCCCUUUUGUUUUCUAGAGCAUGUCUAUCUCCAUGGAAUAUCCCCACCGCCUACUCUUCUUCUUAUCCCAAGAGCUACCGUAUUCUUUUUCUCUCAUACGGAUAGAGAUAGCUGGAAGGAGAAUUUCCUCACGUAUCUCUCCCUCUGUUCUGUGCAACCGGCCACGUACUGAAGCUCUUCCUCACGCCACCUCUGCAUCUCAUUCACGUCAUUUAUUUCCCACGUAUUCAGCUCCUGGAAACUUCCUUCACAAGAUGCGUUGAACACCCUGGGAAUCACCCACGCCACCCAUCUCACCACUGCACCACUGCGCGCUUUGUACUGCUGGCCGGGCUGCUCCAGCACCAGGAACGCUCGCUCCUGCUCGUCGACGUUAGAUUUUCCCAGACGCGCGAGCUCCCCAGCAACUCCAACACGUUGCUCGCCUCGCUCAGUCUUCAAGCCAUCGUGUCGCUGGUUCUAGCCAAAGUGGGGCGCGUUCUUUCCUUCGCCAGGCAGCGCCUCCAGUCGUCGUUUCUUUUCCACGGCUGCACGCUCACCGACUCAAGCGCUUGGCCAUGGAGCUCAGUUUCGUGUGUGCCUGUGCUGGGUCGCCGGGUCACGUGCUCAUCCGUUUUGAUGCCGUGCACGCUCCGGCUUGUGGAACUCGCCGGCGUCGUCAGCUACUACUAGACCUCACAGUGGUACUGUGAUGCCGCCGUGGAGACGUCUAUUGUGCCAUCUAUUCUCUGUUGUCUCGCUACACCUGAUUGUCAUCGUCGUCCUUGUAUCGAUCUCGCUACGGCAGCAUCGGCGCUCUCGAUAUCGUCCUGAGUUCACUCCGCGUGCUGCGACGUCUCGCUCACCUCCUCGCCAAGCCGUCGUCGCCCUCGCGGUUAUCGGGUCGAUUCGAUCAGGGUAAGCUGAUCUAUUAUUCCCGCUAGUUAAAUCUGGUAAAACUAGAAAAAUCAUGAUUGUUGUGUUUAGUGAAUUAUAGAUGUCUAGUGCUUUCGUAGGAUUGUGUUGAUGUCUUGCCGCUAAAUAUUUGAUUCUCUUUUUUGUAUCA